GAAUCCCGUCUUUGGCACGGAAACCCCAGGGCUUUUGUGAUGCGCUCUCGAAGAGUCGAGUUGUUUGGGAAUGCAGCUCAAAAUGGGUGGUGAACUCCAUCUAAAGCUAAAUAUUGGCGAGAGACCGAUAGCGAACAAGUACCGUGAGGGAAAGAUGAAAAGCACUUUGGAAAGAGAGUGAAACAGUACGUGAAAUUGUUGAAAGGGAAACGCUUGAAGUCAGUCGCGUCGACCGAGACUCAGCCUUGCCCUUGGCUUGGUGUACUUCUCGGCUGACGGGUCAGCAUCAAUUUUGCCCCUUGGAUAAUGGCGAGGGAAAUGUGACACCUUUACGGUGUGUUAUAGUCUCUUGUCGCAUGCAAGGGUUGGGAUUGAGGAACUCAGCACGCACCUUUGGGUGUCGGGGCUUUGCCCACGAUACGUGCUUAGGAUGUUGGCGUAAUGGCUUUAAACGACCCGUCUUGAAACACGGACCAAGGAGUCUAACAUGCCUGCGAGUGUUCGGGUGGAAAACUCGUGCGCGCAAUGAAAGUGAAAGUUGGGACCUCUGUCGUGGAGGGCACCGACGCCCGGACCAGACCUUCUGUGACGGCUCUGCGGUAAAGCAUGUAUGUUAGGACCCGAAAGAUGGUGAACUAUGCCUGAAUAGGGUGAAACCAGAGGAAACUCUGGUGAAGGCUCGUAGCGAUUCUGACGUGCAAAUCGAUCGUCAAAUUUGGGUAUAGGGGCGAAAGACUAAUCGAACCAUCUAGUAGCUGGUUCCUGCC
rnacentral:rRNA from 1 species